rnacentral:rRNA from 1 species
CUGCUGCCUUCCGUAGGAGUUUGGGCCGUGUCUCAGUCCCAAUGUGGCCGGUCACCCUCUCAGGUCGGCUACUGAUCGUUGCCUUGGUGGGCCGUUACCCCUCCAACUAGCUAAUCAGACGCGGGUCCAUCUCAUACCGUCUCGGCUUUUCACCCCGAACCAUGCGGUUCUGUGUGCUUAUGCGGUAUUAGCAGUCAUUUCUAACUGUUAUCCCCCUGUAUGAGGCAGGUUACCCACGCGUUACUCACCCGUCCGCCGCU